rnacentral:rRNA from 1 species
CAGUCGCCGCGGUAACACGGAGGGUGCAAGCGUUACUCGGAAUCACUGGGCGUAAAGGACGCGUAGGCGGAUUAUCAAGUCUCUUGUGAAAUCUGACGGCUUAACCGUUAAACUGCUUGGGAAACUGAUAACCUAGAGUAAGGGAGAGGCAGAUGGAAUUCUUGGUGUAGGGGUAAAAUCCGUAGAUAUCAAGAAGAAUACCUAUUGCGAAGGCGAUCUGCUGGAACUUAACUGACGCUAAUGCGUGAAAGCGUGGGGAGCAAACAGGAUUAGAGACCCCUGUAGUCCCUGUCUCUUAUAA